rnacentral:lncRNA from 1 species
CUUGGCACUGAAGUGGUAAGGUGCCAGCGCCUCUUGAUAGAAAACAUGGAGAAAAAAAAAUAAUCUUUAAAUAACGGCACAAAACUGAGAAAGUCCUCCCAAAGCCUGUCCCAGUGGAAUUGCCCGAGUCUAGCUGGAAGGGCUGAUCUGUCAGAGCAGAGUCUCUGCAGCAGGGGAAGGGCAUUAGCAGCACCGCUUCUUCCUUUUACUGUUCUUCGUUAGCUUCACCACAUCAUUCUGUUGCUGCUGUUGCUGCUUUGCUAAGUUUUCUUUCUUUGCUCGCAGAACUAGCUCUGUAAUGCAAUUAAACAUCUCUUCCACAUUAAUAUUUUCUUUGGCGCUGGUCUCAAACAAUUGGAUCUCCAUCUGCCCAGCAAAUUUAUAGGCAUCUUCUGUUUCUACUACUUUUCGCUCUGGGUCAUCG